CAGCUCAUGGAGACCUAGGUGG
rnacentral:miRNA from 1 species